AGGAAGGUGGGGAUGACGUCAAGUCAUCAUGGCCCUUAUGUCCAGGGCGACACACGUGCUACAAUGGCCGGCACAGCGGGAAGCGAGGGGCGACCUUGAGCGGAUCCCUCAAAGCCGGUCUCAGUUCGGAUUGCAGUCUGCAACUCCGACUGCAUGAAGUUGGAAUCGCUAGUAAUCGUGGAUCAGCCAAGCCGCGGUGAAUACGUUCCCGGGCCUU
rnacentral:rRNA from 1 species